GAUGAACGCUGGCGGCGUGCCUAAUACAUGCAAGUCGAGCGAACGGACGAGAAGCUUGCUUUUCUGAUGUUAGCGGCGGACGGGUGAGUAACACGUGGAUAACCUACCUAUAAGACUGGGAUAACUUCGGGAAACCGGAGCUAAUACCGGAUAAUAUUUUGAACCGCAUGGUUCAAUAGUGAAAGACGGUCUUGCUGUCACUUAUAGAUGGAUCCGCGCUGCAUUAGCUAGUUGGUAAGGUAACGGCUUACCAAGGCAACGAGGCAUAGCCGAACUGAGAGGGUGAUAGGCGGCACUGGAACUGAGACACGGUCAAGACUCCUACGGGAGGCAGCAGUAGGGAAUGUUCCGCAAUGGGCGAAAGCAUGACGGAGCAACGCCGAGUGAGAGAUGAAGGUCCUCGGAUCGUAAAAAUCUGUUAUUAGGGAAGAACAUAUGUGUAAGUAACUGUGCACAUAUUGACGGUACCUAAUCAGAAAGCAACGGCUAACUACGUG
rnacentral:rRNA from 1 species